CAGUAGCCGCGGUAAAACGGAGGGUGCAAGCGUUAAUCGGAAUUACUGGGCGUAAAGCGUGCGUAGGCGGUUCGUUAAGUCUGUUGUGAAAGCCCUGGGCUCAACCUGGGAAUUGCAGUGGAUACUGGGUCACUAGAGUGUGGUAGAGGAUAGUGGAAUUUCCGGUGUAGCAGUGAAAUGCGUAGAGAUCGGAAGGAACAUCUGUGGCGAAGGCGACUAUCUGGGCCAACACUGACACUGAGGCACGAAAGCGUGGGGAGCAAACAGGAUUAGAUACCCGCGUAGUCCCUGUCUCUUAUAC
rnacentral:rRNA from 1 species